AAUCUCUCCACCAUUAAUCACUAAACGACAAAGAUCAUGGCCGGGAGGGGUCUGAAGCACUCGGCGCACCGCCUCUUCGCGGCUGCGCCGCCGCCGUCGAUGGUGGGAGAGGAGUUCGAUGAGGCUGACAUCUGGGGAUAUGGAUCGGCGGGGGAGCACCGGAAACCGGCGGUCAACGGCCGGCGUAAAUCGGAAAAUGGUAGCCGGGAGCGGGGGAGCGGUGGGGGAGGCGGCGGCGCCACGGUGACAGGGUCGCUGCCGGUGAACAUACCGGACUGGGCGAAGAUACUGAGGCAGGAGUACAGGGUGCAGAACAG
rnacentral:misc_RNA from 1 species